rfam:Aedes albopictus isolate Foshan contig45600, whole genome shotgun sequence.
UAGCCUAGUGGUUAUGGCUAUGGAUCGCCAAUCCGGAGACGGCGGGUUCGAUUCCCGU